AUACGGAGGGUGCAAGCGUUGUUCGGAUUUACUGGGCGUAAAGGGCGUGUAGGCGGAAGUGCAAGCUGUGGGUGAAAGUCCCGGGCUUAACCCGGGAAGGUCUUGCAGAACUGCACAUCUAGAGAGGGCAAGAGGCAGGUGGAAUUCCAGGUGUAGAGGUGAAAUUCGUAGAGAUCUGGAGGAACACCGGCGGCGAAGGCGGCCUGCUGGGGCCACUCUGACGCUGAGGCGCGAAAGCGUGGGGAGCAAACAGGAUUAGAAACCCCAGUAGUCC
rnacentral:rRNA from 1 species